AUUGAAACUUAUCCUCCAACCAAUGAGUAUCUGCCAAGAAUCUCUCCCCAUCUUCGAGCCAGUGAAUUUGCUGCACGGUCCCUAACUGGAUUUUCCCCUUUUGCACUCUGCUCAUAAAAGCCACCAGCCCUAAACCGUCAGUGCAUUUGCCUGUACCUCACUGCAGUUCACGUGUCUUGAAUUACACUUCCUCUGCUAUUCCCAAAUAAGCUCAAUUCCUGGUAACUGGAACUCGCCUCAGUUUACCUCCUUUUCAGUUGACAUUACAUGGUGUCAGAAGUGGGAUCCAAAGGAGACAACCACCAAGGAAUGACGGGCAACCCCCGGAAUCAAGCACAGUCUGCACACUUGAGCCCUUUGCAUUCUUGGCCUCCACAGGUUGCUAUAACUUUCAGUUUGGAGAUAAAGACAUUCAGAUGGCAGAUAACAGUUUUUCAGAUGGGGUUUCUUCAGAUUCCUUGGAAGCUGCUAAAAAUGCAAGUAACACAGAAAAGCUCACAGAUCAGGUGAUGCAGAAUCCUCAAGUUUUGGCAGCUCUACAGGAACGACUUGACAAUGUCUCCCACACUCCUUCCAGCUACAUUGAGACUUUACCUAAAGCCGUCAAAAGAAGAAUCAAUGCCUUGAAACAGCUUCAGGUGAAGUGCGCUCAUAUAGAAGCCAAGUUCUAUGAAGAAGUCCACGACCUGGAAAGAAAGUAUGCAGCUCUAUACCAGCCUCUCUUUGACAAGAGAAGGGAAUUCAUCACUGGUGACGUUGAGCCAACAGAUGCGGAAUCAGAAUGGCACAGCGAAAGUGAAGAGGAGGACAAACUGGCGGGAGACAUGAAAAAUAAAGUAGUCGUAGCAGAAAAAGAAGCAGCAACAGCAGAAGAGCCAAACCCCAAAGGAAUUCCGGAGUUCUGGUUUACCAUCUUUAGAAACGUAGAUAUGCUAAGUGAAUUAGUCCAGGAAUAUGACGAACCAAUCUUAAAACAUCUGCAGGAUAUUAAAGUGAAAUUUUCAGACCCUGGACAACCCAUGUCUUUUGUAUUAGAGUUCCACUUUGAACCCAACGACUACUUUACCAAUUCAGUCCUGACAAAAACGUACAAGAUGAAGUCAGAGCCAGAUAAGGCUGAUCCCUUUUCCUUUGAAGGUCCUGAAAUAGUUGACUGUGACGGGUGUACUAUUGACUGGAAGAAAGGGAAAAACGUCACAGUCAAAACAAUCAAGAAGAAGCAGAAGCACAAGGGUCGAGGCACUGUUCGGACAAUCACCAAACAAGUCCCCAAUGAUUCCUUCUUUAACUUCUUCAGUCCGCUGAAAGCAUCUGGGGACGGAGAAUCACUGGAUGAAGAUUCCGAAUUCACGUUAGCCUCCGACUUUGAAAUUGGACACUUCUUCCGUGAGCGGAUAGUCCCGCGGGCUGUGCUCUACUUCACAGGGGAGGCCAUAGAGGAUGACGACAAUGUGUCACCUCCGUGCUUCAGUUUCCUCAUCUGUAAAACAAUUCAUGUGCACAACUCGAGUGACUUGUCAAGCUCUUGGAACAGUGCCUGGCAGAGAAUUAUUCAUUUGAAGAAGGUGAGGAAGGAGAAGAGGAGGAAUUAGAAGGCGACGAGGAGGGAGACGAUGAGGACGAUGCUGAGAUUAACCCCAAGGUGUAAUUUUUGUCUGUUAAUCAUUCAUGCGUUUCUAGAAGGAGCCGAGCCAGCCCUCCGAGUGCAAACAGCAGUGAGGCGCGAGCGCACCUCUGCAGGUGUGGCUGCUGCCUGCGGACGCCCAGCAGGCCUCGGCCUGGCCGCGCAUGGUCGGAUUGACGGCGCUUACAUCUAACUCGUUUUCAAGUGCAUGAUUUUCACUUUCACUUUUCCUUUUUCCUUAUUAUUUUGCUUAACCUAUACAGUGGCAACUUAAAUGCAUUUCAGAAAUAGGAGGGUUAAUCCCAGCACCCUCUACGGCCUUGGGUGCAGCUCAGUGGACUUUCCCAGGUCCUGCCUUGGAGCGAGGGGGCCCGCAGACCACAUGGGGGGUAGGGGGUGGAAGGUCGCUCGACACCAAGGACAGAUGUCUGGGCUGUGGUUCCAGGGCACCUAGAACCCAUGACACCGCUCCCGCAUCGGACUGGAUUCUUGUUUCACUUGAGGAAGCUCUCACGCUUUGUUUCCAGCGGCUUGGUCUCCUGCAGUCUCCUCGCCUCCCAGGGCUUGGUGGAGUAGGCUCCUGUGCUCCUGACAGUGUUCUUUGGUUUUAUUGUCCUCGGGGUGGGGGGUGCUCACUGCCCCUGCGGUGCGAGCUUUGUGGUUCAUCCUGUAUUUAUUUAUUCUUUCAUGCUUAUGAGGGCUUGGGAUGCCUGCUGUUGCUCGUUCUUAGAGUUUCGGAAACCAUGUUUGUGACUAGAGACCCAGUGACUUGACCAGGAAGAGGGGGUGGCGGCUCCUACUGGAGCAAGGCCUGUGUAGAAGAAACCGUGCUACGUUCUCCUGCCAGCUGCCGAGGCGAGAGCUUGUUUUCGUGACAUACAGACCGCUUUUGGCUCUGAGGAUUGGGGGUGGGCAGAGCACCAGGAUGCCCAGUCUGCUGUGCUGGGAGCUCGGCGCGCAAGUAGGACCUUCCCAUUAGUGUUCAUGUCGAGUCUUCCUUUCUUGAUCACUCCCAUUUCUUGACCCCACGUUCAUCUUGUCUUAAAAGCCCUGGGUUUGGAGCGACCUGUUCUUGGCUGGGUUUCCAAGUGUGUGACCGUGGUCUCUGGCAGCUGGGGGAUGCCGUGUCCACACUGUGAUCAGGCCUGUAGAGUGCUCAGCCUUACUUAUGAUACAUUUGUAACUGAAUAUGGUGUUUUCAAUUUGUACAGAAUAGUUAGAAUAUUCUAUUAAAGUUGUGAAACAUGAA